rnacentral:rRNA from 1 species
UACAGAGGGGUGCAAGCGUUGCUCGGAAUCACUGGGCGUAAAGCGCACGUAGGCGGGUUGUUAAGUCGGGGGUGAAAUCCUGGAGCUCAACUCCAGAACUGCCUUCGAUACUGGCGACCUUGAGUCCGGGAGAGGUGAGUGGAACUCCGAGUGUAGAGGUGAAAUUCGUAGAUAUUCGGAAGAACACCAGUGGCGAAGGCGGCUCACUGGCCCGGUACUGACGCUGAGGUGCGAAAGCGUGGGGAGCAAACAGG